rnacentral:rRNA from 1 species
CCUACGGGAGGCAGCAGUGGGGAAUAUUGGGCAAUGGGCGCAAGCCUGACCCAGCAACGCCGCGUGAAGGAAGAAGGCUUUCGGGUGGUAAACUUCUUUUCUCAGGGACGAAGAAAGUGACGGUACCUGCGGAAUAAGCCACGGCUAACUACGCGCCCGGAGCCGCGGUAAUACGUAGGUGGCAAGCGUUAUCCGGAUUUACUGGGUGUAAGGGGCGUGUAGGCGGGAAAGCAAGUCAGAUGUGAAAACCAUGGGCUCAACCUGUGGCGUGCAUUUGAAACUGUUUUUCUUGAGUACUGGGGAGGCAGACGGAAUUCCUAGUGUAGCGGUGAAAUGCGUAGAUAUUAGGAGGAACACCAGUGGCGAAGGCGGUCUGCUGGACAGCAACUGACGCUGAGGCGCGAAAGCGUGGGGAGCAAACAGGAUUAGAUACCCGGGUAGUC